rnacentral:rRNA from 1 species
UGCCCAACAGCUAGCCCACAAACACAACAACAACCAACCAUUAUUUAUAACCCCGAAUGCACGAGUGUUUUAAUUAAACAAACCAUUUUUC